UAGGGAAUCUUCGGCAAUGGACGAAAGUCUGACCGAGCAACGCCGCGUGAGUGAAGAAGGUUUUCGGAUCGUAAAACUCUGUUGUUAGAGAAGAACAAGGAUGAGAAGAGAAUGUUCAUCCCUUGACGGUAUCUAACCAGAAAGCCACGGCUAACUACGUGCCAG
rnacentral:rRNA from 1 species